rnacentral:lncRNA from 1 species
GUCUUUGCCACUUUCUCAUGCUCUUCCUCCUGAUUAUGAGCAUAUACGGGUUUUCCGUCACUCCCACCGCAAAUUCAAAAAUAGAGGUUCCUAUAAUCGUUAGACUACUGCUAUCACCGACUCUACUGUGCUAUCACCUGAUUCUGCUUCUUCUUCCACCCUUACUACUGCUGAUAUCGAGACAAUAGUUACCCAGGUUUUAUCACGCAUUAAUAUUCAUUCAUCUGCUCUCUCAACCACAUCAGGUACUUUACCUUGGCUUUUUGAUACUGCCUGUUGCAAUCAUAUAACUUCUGAUACUUUUUUAUUCUCUAUCACACCUCCCACUUCCUUCGUGCAUCCUAUUCACACAACUAAUGGCUCUCUUAUGACUACUACUCAUACUGACAUUAUUGUCACUCCUGAUCUUACUAUUGACCAUACUUAUCUUGUUCCUGUUUUUUCCCAUAAUUUAUUAUCUGUUGGUCAACUUUGUGAACUUGGUUUAGACUUACAUUUUUCCAAUUCUGGUUGUCUUAUUUAGGAUCCACAGACAGAAAAAAUCAUUGGGACCAGCCGUAAAGUGGGUCGAUUGUUUGAGUUAGAGUCUCUUCAUGUUCCUUCUCAAUCUGUUGUUGCUGCCUCUAAUUCAAGUAGUCAUGUUUCCUUUAGCCUCUAGCAUUCUCACUUAAGUCAUGCCUCUUUAUCAAAAUUGCAAAAAUUAGUAUCUCGUGGUUAUUUAGGUUCUGUUAAAAUAGAAACAAAUUUUUAUUAUCUUGCUUGUUAAACUGGGAAAUAACAUGUGUUAUCUGUUCAUAAUAAUAAUUCUUUUGCUACUGCACCUUUGACCUUGUUCACUCUGAUGUGUAGGGUCCUCUCCCAUUUCCUCUACUAGUGUAGUUUUUGGAUAUCUUGUCAUUUUUGUCAUUGAUGAUAUUCUCUAUAUAUAUGGAUUUAUCCUUAUACACAUAAGAUCUGAGUUACUUUGGAUUUAUGAUGAAUUUCAAAAAGGGUUCAAACGCAAUUUUUUUCGAAAAUUAAAAAUUUUCGUUCUAAUAUUGCUCAGAAUCUAACCAAACUAUUUUCUCAACAUUCUUAAACAAAUGGCACAUUCCCACACUCAUCAUUUCCGGUACUUCUUUACCAAAAUGGACGUUCCAGCACAAUUUUGGCACAUCUUGGAUACUAUUCCUGCCUUUCUCAUUUUUACCUAUCACUGAAUCCUUUUGGGGAGAAGCUGCCCUUACUGCUGUCUACACAUCAUUAGUUACCGACAACAUAUCCUCUUAUGAACGUCUAUAUAAUACUCCUCCUAAUUAUAACAUUUUUCGUAUGUUUGGGAGUUCAUGUUUUGUUCUUCUUCAACCUCAUGGACGCAAUAAGUUAGAACCUCGUUUCGACUUUGCUGUUUUUUAGGGUAUGGAAUUGAACAUAAGGGAUAUCGUUGUUAUGAUCUUAUCUCUAAACGUCUUUACAUUUCUUGACAUGUUGAAUUUUGGGAAGAUAUUAAGUUUUCGAAUAUUUUCAAAACACCUAUACCAUCUAGACUUGGCCACCCUCUUUUUACUGUCCCUUCAUUAUAUAUUAUCUCACCUGUUACUUUUCCCUUUUCUACAGGUUCUCUACCAUCACCAAGUCUCACAACCCUCGCCAUGGACAUUCCCAAUGCUUCCCCACUAGAGGCUUCGCCAUCCAUUUCUUGUCCUCCUACUCGUUGUUCCACCAGAGUCAGAACUGCACCCUCUCAUUUUUGUUAUUAUCAUUGUUAUUUUUCUCUUUCUACUUUGCCAUGAGCAUCGGCAUUUUAUGAGGCAUCCUCUAUCCUGAUUGGUAGAAAGCAAUAAAAAUGCGUAGAGUGCUCUUGAUACAACUCACACAGGGGCAUGGUUAACUUAUCGUCUACAACAUAAGUGAUGCAAAUAGGUGUAUAAGAUAAGACUCAGGCUGAUGGUACUGUUGAAAGGUACAAAAGCCAACGUCUGGCGCCGUGGACUUUACUUAGGGACUAUGGGAUGAUUAUGGGGCAGAUUUUUGCUCCUAUGCUUGCCUACCUCGUGUUCGUACUAUAUUGACUGUUGCACAGUUCGUUAGAUGGGUCUGUGCCAAAUAGAUAUGAAAAGGUUUCCUCAAUGGUGAUUUUACAAGAAAGAAGUAUAUAUGACUCAUCCCUUGGCUAUGUUCAUUCUCCUCAUAAGGUAUGCGUCAUUGUAGUGCUCUGUAUGGACUUAAGCCAAGCCCGCGAGAUGGUUUGAUAAAUUCGUUCCCAUAUCUUCUAAGCUGGGUUCUCUUUACCAAUUAUGAUUCAAACACUUCUUUCUCAAGAAGUCUACUGAGGGCAGGUUCUCUGUUACUAUAGGUUGAUGAUAUGAUUAUUAAUGGUUUAAUGAUCUGAAAUGUAUGCCGAUCUUAACAUUCUCAAUUGGCAAUUGGAACUGAAGAUUGGGCUAUUGAGUAUUCUUGGGCAUUGAAGUUUAUUCUUGGGCAUGAAAGUCAUCUAAAUCUGAUGGGGUAUUAUUGUCUCAAACCAAAUAUGAUCUGAUCUCUUAUUGAGCUGGACUACUGCCAACAAGACUGUCAACACUUCCCAUAGAGAACAAUGUUUCGGUUGACACUAUUAAUUGCGUGAACACUUUCGAUCCUAUUCUUUACUGCAGCUUGUAGGCUGAUUUAAUCUUAUGUUUACGGCGAGAAGAUAUCCUCAUGCUUGCAUAUGUCAGUCCAAUAUGGUCUAUCCUUCGGUCCAUCAUUAUGCUGUGCCAAACCUGCAAAUUUUAUGAAUGGUCAACAGUACAAUUUUCACAGACUUAUUUUCAUCACACUCCUUAGACUCUCCGGCCUAUUCGGAUGCUGAUGGGGCAGGUGAUCCCACUGAUCGACACUCCAG